UACGUAGGCAGCAAGCGUUGUUCGGAGUUACUGGGCGUAAAGGGUGCGUAGGCGGCUUUUUAAGUCUGGUGUGAAAUCUCCCGGCUCAACUGGGGAGGGUGCGCCGGAUACUGAGGGGCUAGAGUGUGGGAGAGGAAAGUGGAAUUCCUGGUGUAGCGGUGAAAUGCGCAGAUAUCAGGAGGAACACCGGUGGCGAAGGCGGGUCUCUGGGCCGUAACUGACGCUGAGGAGCGAAAAGCGUUGGGGGAGCGAACAGG
rnacentral:rRNA from 1 species